rnacentral:rRNA from 1 species
AUUGAACGCUGGCGGCAUGCCUUACACAUGCAAGUCGAACGGUAACGCGGGGCAACCUGGCGACGAGUGGCAAACGGGUGAGUAAUGUAUCGGAACGUGCCCAGUUGUGGGGGAUAACUGCGCGAAAGAGCAGAUAAUACCGCAUACGACCUGAGGGAGAAAGCGGGGGAUCGCAAGACCUCGCGCAAUUGGAGCGGCCGAUAUCAGAUUAGGUAGUUGGUGGGGUAAAGGCUCACCAAGCCAACGAUCUGUAGCUGAUCUGAGGGGACGACCAGCCACACUGGGACUGAGACACGGCCCAGACUCCUACGGGAGGCAGGAGUGGGGAAUUUUGGACAAUGGGCGCAAGUCUGAUCCAGCCAUGCCGCGUGCGGGAAGAAGGCCUUCGGGUUGUAAACCGCUUUUGUCAGGGAAGAAACGCUCUGGGUUAAUACCUCGGGGUAAUGACGGUACCUGAAGAAUAAGCACCGGCUAACUACGUGCCAGCAGCCGCCGCCGUAA